AGUCCUCAAUUUUGUUCAGCGGUAUCGUUUGGUAUUCUGACGGCUCCUCGUUCGCCGGUUUGUAUCCCUGCAACGAUUUACCAUGAUUUUCCGCAAUGAAGAUACGAACUCGGUGUCGCGCGAAAUAAUUUCAAAUCACGAUUGGUAUCACAGUGCAGAAUGUACCUUGGGGUAAGUUCUGAAGGCUCCUAAGCAGACCUUGCCAGCAGAGAUGGUUCUCACGGGAUCGAUGACGAUAGCGACGAACGGUUCUUGAAAGUUCUGAUUAAGCAUCUGAGUAGAUACGUCGAUACCAGACAAC